rnacentral:rRNA from 1 species
UGGGGAAUUGUUCGCAAUGGGCGCAAGCCUGACGACGCAACGCCGCGUGGAGGAUGAAGGUCUUCGGAUUGUAAACUCCUGUUGAUUGGGACGAACGCCUUCGGGGAUAACACCUCCGGAGGGUGACGGUACUGAUUGAGGAAGCCCCGGCUAACUCUGUGCCAGCAGCCGCGGUAAUACAGAGGGGGCAAGCGUUGUUCGGAAUUACUGGGCGUAAAGGGCGCGUAGGUGGCCACCUAAGUCGGACGUGAAAUCCCUCGGCUCAACCGGGGAACUGCGUCCGAUACUGGGCGGCUUGAAUCCGGGAGAGGGAUGUGGAAUUCCAGGUGUAGCGGUGAAAUGCGUAGAUAUCUGGAGGAACACCGGUGGCGAAGGCGGCAUCCUGGACCGGUAUUGACGCUGAGGCGCGAAAGCCAGGGGAGCAAACGGG